rnacentral:rRNA from 1 species
AGAACGAACGCUGGCGGCAGGCCUCAAACAUGCAAGUCUAGGGGGUGUAGCAAUACAUCACCGGCGGACGGGUGCGUAACGCGUGGGAAUGUACCUAUUGGUUCGGAACAACUGAGGGAAACUUCAGCUAAUACCGGAUGAGCCCGAAAGGGGAAAGAUUUCUCGCCAAUAGAUCAGCCCGCGUCCGAUUAGCUAGUUGGUGGGGUUAAAGCCUACCAAGGCGACGAUCGGUAGCUGUUCUGAGAGGAAGAUCAGCCACACUGGGACUGAGACACGGCCUAGACUCCUACGGGAGGCAGCAGUUGGGAAUCUUGGACAAUGGGGGAAACCCUGAUCCAGCCAUGCCGCGUGAGUGAUGAAGGCCUUCGGGUUGUAAAACUCUUUCGACGGGGACGAUAAUGACGGUACCCGUAGAAGAAGCUCCGGCUAACUUCGUGCCAGCAGCCGC